AGCUCGUCCGCUCCUUCUGCUUGGGGGAAGGGGUAGAAGAUGUCGUGAACCUGUCCAGGCAGAGAGAGGACGUGUCCCUCCUCUGCCCUCCUGGCUAUGGAUCCUGAAGAGUGACUCCCUGGGUGAUGAUGACCCCCAUCCAUGAUGCUGACUAGGUGACGGAGAGAAGGAUCCCAGAACACUGAUGCGUCUGCUGAGGCACCCCGGCCACACUUACCUUGCCCUGACUGUCGAUUUGGAACUCAGCCAGUUUCAAGGCGAUCUUGGGGUUCUUGCUGCCUGCAGAAAUG